AGCCACUACUUCCACUUCCUUAUCACCUACCUUCAGCCUCUUAUAAUCUACUCAUAGACGUCAUUCUACCGAAGUAACUCCCUCAAAGAGGGUUAGAAGCAACAGUAUUUUCCUGUUCUUUAUGGCAUAAUUCAUCCCCCUCAUCCAGACUCCCAUUGGCUCCUCCAGAUCCACUCCCCAUUUUUCUCAACCUGCUCUUGGCCCUGGAAGGCUGACCCCGUAGACCACAGCCCCUGGCUUGGCUCCUUUACACUCUGCUUUCUGGUUGGUUCAGUUAGAGGAGGUUUACAGGAAGUGGUCCAGAGGAGGGUGAGGCCAGGAUAUUUAUCCCCACAGCUUCCUCUCCGCUGGGUGUCUCUACCAGAAACCACUGUUCCUGACAGAGGGUCCCCUCCAUUAAUCUCCCCUGUCUGGGCUCCAGUGACCACGCACGCCUUCCCUUGCGCCUUCAGCCUUGCAGCUUCUUCUUUUAUAAGGUUAGAAGCACAGGAGAUGCUUACAGUUCUUAUGACUGGUUCCUGAAAGUGCUGCUGAAGAUCCCAAUGGAAGGCUGAGGCCAAAGUAAAGGGAAUGUUGAGUGAUUGCACGGAGAGGCCAAAGGAACAUGUGAUCAUCCAUUCACCUUGUCACUCAGUGGGCUCACGGUCAGUCUCCAACAGAAACUGAAUGUGCUCUGUGUGCCUGCCUUGAUCCAGAUACACUGGAGCUUUUAUGAUAUUUUUCAAAUAGAAAAAGGGCAAAAUAAUAAGAUAAUCCUACAUUGAGGAAAAAGAGGAUUUACUAAAGAGCAAUGUAUUUAAUGCACAGUUUCUGCAGUUUUUGGAGUUAAGGCAGCUAAGAUAUUCUACACUCUUGCCUCCAGAAAUCUCUCUCUUAAUAAUCUCAGAGAGUUUCCUUGUCAAGUGUUUCUAAGUCCUCAGCAUCCGACAGGAGAAAGAAUUUUCAUCACUAGGGUUCUGCAAUACAUGAUAUAAAAUCUACGAUUCUGUGACUUUCCUGGUGAAGCAUAUUGGUUAUGAAAGUAGAAAAUCUUAUCAAAACAAGAUUUAUUGCAAAAAACAAGAUGAAAAGCAUUUACCACAUUUUUAAAGCUCUACCCCCUGGAUCAAUGAUCUAGAGAGAUUUAUAAAAUUUCACAAGUUCAAAAUGACCAAAAAGCUUUGAAGCUCCUCUUCCCUAGAUAGAUAUUUUUUAUCUCAAAAAUUGCACUUGAUGUUUGCUCUAACCUGUAAGAGACUGUCUAUCAUAUUAGGAGCUAUUCCCUAGAAAAAGCAUUGCCCACAUGCUGUUAGAGGAGCUCUGAAAAAGAACACAUAACCUGCACAAUGGCAUAUAAAACCCUGAGAUUCUGGCCACAACAGCCUAGAAAAUGUAAUGAAUACCAGAGCAGUGCUUCUUUUACACAGUCUUUUUUGGUCCUAUUGAAUCCACAAAAUUAUUUUCAUGUAACAUUUUAAAUCACAUUAAGUAUGUAAGUCAAAUGAGCUCUUUAGCACCUUUUACAUAAGAAAUGAUGCUAUACCAGUAACAGUAACAACCCAUAAGUAAAAGAUACCUACGGAAUAAAGUCAAUUUGUGCUUAUUUGGGAAAUUUAAAAACUGUAAAAAAAGAAAACUUUGAACCAAGUUUCUUCAAAUUAGACUGAAUUCCUUCCUGUUCUGUUAAAACACAAAAGUUUUUGUCAUAAAAUAAUAGCACUUAUCGAGAUGAUUACUAAAAACAAACAAACAAAAACCUCUAACUACAGACAUAAGUGAAGACACAGCGUACUUUUGCACUUCUGCUUAGAGAAUCCCUAGAAUGACUCCAGCAGCAUGAAUGGCAGAAUUUAGGUCAAGAGGCCAAUUACCCAGUGUUACCAUCAAAGGCAGGGACAAGUUACCACUUCUCUCUGCCUGUUCCUGUUUUCCUUUGAGAGUCACUGUUACGCAACCACAGAAGUAACUUUAGAGGAUGCCAAAAAAAAAAAAAAAGAAAGAAAUAAAAGACAUUCACAAAGUCCUGGAAGCAACUAUACCUCUGAACCACUAGGUCAAAACCAUCCUAAUCAUCUCCACACCCCGCUGUUCCACUCCCCGUUUUCUUGCUACAAAGUGAAGUAAUAGGCCUAGGAAUUUUGGUCCAUUGUUAAUCAGUCAGUUUCUAAGUAGCACAGGCAGACUGAUAGUUCCCCAAUCAGCCAAGAAUAGAUUCAAAGCAUCUUAAACAGAGACUAACCUGGAGGUGACUGGUGCUGGGGCUCAGCUGUGGUCUUCCCUGGC
rnacentral:lncRNA from 1 species